GUUGAGGUAGCUCAAUGGCAGAGCAGCGGACUCAUAAGCCGCCGACUUGGGUUCGAUUCCCUGCCUCAAUA
rnacentral:tRNA from 1 species